GGGAGUUUCUCCAUCACCUUCCCACCCCACAACACCGGUCCUCACAUACAGCUCAGGGCCCACCUGGUACCUAUCUAUCAGCAAGGCUUGAAGAAAGCUUCACGGGACUGAAGGGGAACCAGGACACCUUCUGUGGAGUCCUCCCACACAUAGGCCAGGCCUGAAAACUCAGUUUUGGUUUCCUGUUCCAGGAACCUCUGCUGCGCGAGUUUGCAGAGACAAGUGGGUGGAGGUGUUAAGGCGCAGGGAGUCAGAUGGGCUGCUUCUGCAUUGUGCCGCAGUCUGCCCUGAGCAGAGGAGUGGGGCCUCAAUGUGCAGGGAAUGGGGCACUGCACCGACACAUACACUGUGACUUACUAGCCAAGCAAGCAAGACAGAAGUGAACUGACAAAUAGCACACAUUCCCAGUGCUGUGAGUGAGUGACUUCCCUGCUGAACUGGCUGACAGCUCCCAGCACUGCAGAGGCAUUCUCCAGUGCUCAGUUCACAACGUGGCAACUACACAUGUGAUGGCACCGUAGAAUUUAAUCUGCACUGUGACAUUUGUCC
rnacentral:lncRNA from 1 species